rfam:Triticum aestivum genome assembly, contig: Triticum_aestivum_CS42_TGACv1_scaffold_407697_5BL
AAGAUACUCCCUCCGUCCGGAAAUACUUGUCAUCAUAUAAAUAAAACAUGAUGUAUCUAGUAUGAUGUAUCUACUAGAUACAUCAUGUUUUAUUUAUAUGAUGACAAGUAUUUUUGGACGGAUGGAGUACAAA